AGUGAACGCUGGCGGUAGGCCUAACACAUGCCAGUCGAACGGCAGCACAGUAAGAGCUUGCUCUUACGGGUGGCGAGUGGCGGACGGGUGAGGAAUACAUCUGAAUCUACUUUUUCGUGGGGGAUAACGUAGGGAAACUUACGCUAAUACCGCAUACGACCUACGGGUGAAAGCAGGGGAUCUUCGGACCUUGCGCGAUUGAAUGAGCCGAUGUCGGAUUAGCUAGUUGGCGGGGUAAAGGCCCACCAAGGCGACGAUCCGUAGCUGGUCUGAGAGGAUGAUCAGCCACACUGGAACUGAGACACGGUCCAGACUCCUACGGGAGGCAGCAGUGUGGAAUAUUGGACAAUGGGCGCAAGCCUGAUCCAGCCAUACCGCGUGGGUGAAGAAGGCCUUCGGGUUGUAAAGCCCUUUUGUUGGGAAAGAAAAGCAGCAGGUUAAUACCCCGCUGUUCUGACGGUACCCAAAGAAUAAGCACCGGCUAACUUCGUG
rnacentral:rRNA from 1 species